rnacentral:rRNA from 1 species
CCUACGGGAGGCAGCAGUGAGGAAUAUUGGUCAAUGGCCGGAAGGCUGAACCAGCCAAGCCGCGUGAAGGACGAAGGUGCCAAGCAUUGUAAACUUCUUUUGUCAAGGGACAAAAUCAGGCUCGAGAGCCUGACCGAGGGUACUUGAAGAAAAAGCAUCAACUAACUCCGUGCCAGCAGCCGCGGUAAUACGGAGGAUGCGAGCGUUAUCCGGAUUUAUUGGGUUUAAAGGGUGAGUAGGCGGACUGUUAAGUCAGCGGUAAAAGCCCGGGGCUCAACCCCGGCGAGCCGUUGAAACUGGCUGUAGUGCGAUGUCGAGAGGUAUGCGGAAUGCGCAGUGUAGCGGUGGAAUGCUUAGAUAUUGCGCAGAACGCCGAUGGCGAAGGCAGCAUACCGGCGGCGAUCUGACGCUGAGGCACGAAAGCGGGGGUAUCGAACAGGAUUAGAUACCCCUGUAGUC